UAGAGAAACCGAGUCCAAGCGAGGGGGAGAGACGCGUCCAGAUCUCUGGGCUCUGGGUCCAGCCCCGGCUUUCUGCCAGGAUGUGGGUGCUGGAGGGAGGCGGUUGUCUUUCGUCUCCCUCCUCUCCUCACCCCUAAGCAGGCGCGGAGGCCCGGCAGGGCAGGUUCCCGCGAGGAGUAAGUGAUGAGGUGGAGAAGAGGAGGCGUCAGCUGCCCAGGGCCCUGCGUCUGCCUCUGCUAAAUACCUCUGAGAAACUCGGCUUCCAGCUGAAGGGGACCCGUGUGGCCCCAAGAACCCCCUGGAGUCCCUGGGUGAGAUGGACUGGACCAAUCACAGCUUUCGGGACUUGGGAGCCGGCCGUGCCUCCCUGGAGAGCCUCAUCCGGGUGCUCCCAGCAGGAAACAGCACCACCCUGAAGCCAGAGAUGAGGUCUGUAGGACUCAGGGUGAGGGGUGGGCCCGGGGAAGGGCUCUGGGUGUGGGGGACCACGGCUUAGAGGCCAGGGCUGGGGAGAGAAAGCUGGGCUCUGGAGGAGGGAGAAGCCAGAGCUGGGGGAGCCGGCGCUGGGCAGGGGCCCUGGGCACUUUGGUGGGUGGUCGCCAAGCAGCCAGGGCAGCUGGACAGACUCCAUUUCCCUGGUUGCUGUCCUCAGCAUCGGCAUAGCAGCCACGGCCCUCUCUGGAUCUAUUGGAGGUAUGGCCCUCGUCUUGCUCCUGAUGGGGGUCUCAAUUGUGAUCUUGAAGAAAUGGAGGCGUGAGAGUGAGUUGAGCAGCUGGCCUAGGAGUGGGAAUGAAGA